GUAGGUGGCAAGCGUUGUCCGGAAUUAUUGGGCGUAAAGCGCGCGCAGGCGGUUCUUUAAGUCUGAUGUGAAAGCCCACGGGCUCAACCGUGGAGGGUCAUUGGAAACUGGAGAACUUGAGUACAGAAGAGGAAAGCGGAAUUCCACGUGUAGCGGUGAAAUGCGUAGAGAUGUGGAGGAACACCAGUGGCGAAGGCGGCUUUCUGGUCUGUAACUGACGCUGAGGCGCGAAAGCGUGGGGAGCAAACAGGAUUAGAUACCCUGGUAGUCCACGCCGUAAACGAUGAGUGCUAAGUGUUGGGGGGUUUCCGCCCCUUAGUGCUGCAGCUAACGCAUUAAGCACUCCGCCUGGGGAGUACGACCGCAAGGUUG
rnacentral:rRNA from 1 species